rnacentral:rRNA from 1 species
AGAGUUUGAUCCUGGCUCAGGACGAACGCUGGCGGCGUGCUUAACACAUGCAAGUCGAACGGAGCACCCCUGAAGGAGUUUUCGGACAACGGAUGGGAAUGCUUAGUGGCGGACUGGUGAGUAACGCGUGAGGAACCUGCCUUCCAGAGGGGGACAACAGUUGGAAACGACUGCUAAUACCGCAUGAUGCGUUGGAGCCGCAUGACUCUGACGUCAAAGAUUUAUCGCUGGAAGAUGGCCUCGCGUCUGAUUAGCUAGUUGGUGAGGUAACGGCCCACCAAGGCGACGAUCAGUAGCCGGACUGAGAGGUUGGCCGGCCACAUUGGGACUGAGAUACGGCCCAGACUCCUACGGGAGGCAGCAGUGGGGAAUAUUGGGCAAUGGACGCAAGUCUGACCCAGCAACGCCGCGUGAAGGAAGAAGGCUUUCGGGUUGUAAACUUCUUUUAAGGGGGAAGAGCGGAAGACGGUACCCCUUGAAUAAGCCACGGCUAACUACGUG